GGACGGCAGAAUGGGCGCGUGGGUCCUCGACCACCAUGACUCCUCGUGUUUCGCAUGAGACUUGCGUGUAGCGGGGGUUUAGCACAAGACCAUGGCCACGUGGUAUAGCACGUGGGGCGCUGUUACCAUUUUGCUGGUUAUAUAAGGGAGGCAAUUAUCAAAGGGAACUACAUCUAGUUCUUUUCCUCUCCCAUCUCCUUCUUCCUCGCAUUCGCUUUACCAUUGCCAAGUAAGGUUCGCGCACAGAUUUUUUUCCUCCCGCACUUCCAGCCAAGCCGAAGCCGAAUCCAGACAUACUGAGAUAAAUCGAAGCAUGUUGGUCCCCUAUGUGAGAGAGACAUUUGAGAAGAAAGAUGACACACUUUUGUUUCGGUCAUCACACAUGUUGAAGAAGAAGAUAUAAUGUGGCUAACAUCAAAAGGAAUGGAACCUCGUGAAAUACUACUCCGCUGCUGCCGCCGCCGCGAGCCCUCGACCCCAACGGCAAGCGCAGGGCACCUACGCCGCCCCAGCCGAUGCAAACCACCUCGCCGGCGCCAUCACCAGAGCGGCGGGAGUGUUGGUGCUCUGCCGGCCGACAGAGCCGAGCUUCGAGCUCAUCUCCACGAGCUUGUCCGCCUUCCACUUCCGGCCGCCGGCGGCGCUGGACAUCGGCCUCACCCUCACCGUCAACGCCACCAGCCCUAGUGUGGUGCCCGUGCGCUACGGCGCCUCCAAUGUCUCCAUCCUCCACGUUGGUGCGCUCCUCGGCACCGCGCGCCUCGACGCCGGCCAGCAGCCCGUGAGAUCGGAGGAGUUGUGGCGGUGAGGAGAAGAAGAUAUUUCAGACAGAAGAGCGCCCGGGGCAGGCGGCCGUGGGGUUCGAUCUGAGAGGAUAAAGGGGAGAGCGGCGGUGCUGCGUACGUUGUUGGCGGUGAAUCGGCACUGCUCGAGGAGCUUCAUGGAAGAUUCGUACCCAAGCGCUGGUUCACAACCACCUGUAAAAUACUGGUUAUUUUAGUAGACCAGUAAAAUACGCCUGUAUGUUUUUUGCGGAUGUAUUAGUUUACACCUAUUCCAAUCGGGGCCUUAGCGGUUCCCUCCUUCUGCAACGCACAUACGCCUUUUUCUGUUCUGUGUUGACCUAUCGACGUGGUCUCCAGGUCAGGUGUUGUUGGACCCCGUCGAUCAGGUCAAGAUGCUCCGACGGAUUGUCCUAUGGCGUGGUAAAAUGCAAGGCCUACAUGGCAUAUCAUUUUAGCCUACUAUGGGGCAGCACGCCAGGUCGAUGCCUGUGCAUGCGGGAGUCCAAAGCUACGUAUGUUUGGAUCUCACUACAUGAGAGAACUAGCUAUCGCAGGCACUGAGAGGAUCUUGUCAAAGUCUUAAGCUAGAGGGUGGCCAGGUUUGCUCGGAUCUCUUGACUGCAUGAAUAGCGGAUGGAAGAACUGUCAAAAAGGUUUUCAAAGGAAAUAUUAGGGUCAUGUUAAGAAGUCCAUCAUCAUUCUUGAAGCAGUUGGAUCACAAGAUCUUUGGAUUUGGCAUGCUUUCUUUGGCAUGUCGGGUCUCACAAUGACAUCAAACUGUUGAAACGAUCGCCAUUUUUUGCUAUACUGACUGAAGGGAAAGCUCCUCAUUGUCACUACACUGUCAAUGUGUAUGAAUACAAGUGGGCUACUAUCUGUUUGACAGUAUAUAUCCUUUGUGGACUAAACUUUGCGAAGACCAUCUCUGACCCACUUGGACAGGAAAAAUCACACUUUGCUCAAAGACAAGAAGCAGCUAGGAAGGAUGUCCAGAGGGCAUUUGGAGUUUUGCAAGCACGUUUUGCAGUUGUUCGUGGACCUGCUAAAUAUUGGGAUCCGGAUACCUUGUGGGAGGUGAUGACAUGUUGUGUGAUCAUGCACAACAUAAUCGUGGAGGAUGAGGGUAAGGAUGUGGCCGCAGCUCUUGAAUUUGGGAACAUGGGUGAUCCUAUUAAACUUCCAAAGCAUAAUCCGAACACAUUUGAUGAGUUUGUUCACAUACAUCAAUAAAUUCGGCAUCGUGCAGCUCAUGAGCAACUGAUAGAAGAUUUGAUUGACCAUCUCUGGGAGGUUCAAGGGGACAACUGGUACAUAUGUGCUAGUUAAAUUCAAGUUUUAACUAUUACAACUUGAAUACUUUAUUGGAUAUUGGAUUGAAUUAUCUAAAUUAGAACUACUGUUGCAUUUGAACAUUUGUAGCUGGAACAAGAUAUGCGCCUAUUUUGAGCGUGCUGACUUAGAAAAACAGGUGAUGGAUGUAUCUAGCUAGAUUUGGAUGGCCGACUUUUAUCAGUAUCCGUGGACUGGUCCCAUUCGGUUCGCGGAUGGAUUCGAUGUCUGAUUUGUAAGUCAAUAUUGGAGAUGCCCUAAGGCCUGGCACAACACGGUGUAAAGUACCAUCUAAAGUGAAGCAAUCGCCUUCUCGGUCAAAGCUAGCAUGCCCACGCACGGUCCCAUUGCCGGCCUUGCCAUCCCAGGCGGCGCCUGCCCACCCGACGCCGUCGGGGGCGUUGGCAGAUGAGCGGCUGUUUCGGUCAAAGCAGCUCCCCAUGGUCGCCGUCCGCGUGGCGUCGGCAGCUCUCUUAGCCCUGCCUGAAAAAACGACAUGUGGCCCGAAAAACCGCCCCGAGCCGCUAUAUCUACCGGCCGGAUCGCGAUUUAGGAUUGCCUUGCUUUAUUUCCUCCGUCGCCUCCCAUUUCGUCCACCUCCUCCCUUUCUAAACUCUCGCGAGUGAUUCCCUCUGGAGGCCAGCUUUUUUCGGGUGCGCGAUGGCUGGAUCCGGACACGGGCGUGGAGGCCGUGGCCGUGGCGGGUCACCGCCGCGCAAGAUCUUGCACGUCGACACGGAGGCCAGUAGCUCGCUUUUCGCCCCCGUUGAACCUUGGCAGUCAGAGCAGGCGUGGCAGCGCGUCCUCCUCUCCCAUAGCGGUGGGCAGUCAGCUUGGCCCCACUUCAACAGGCUCCACGAGGAGCUCUACCGGCAGACCCUGUCUUGCCGCAACGCGGAGAUGGAGUUCCUUGCCGGGGCGAGCGCCGUCGAGGCCGGAGAACCAGGGGCCGUUGAGAGGCUUGCCGCGGCGAAGGAGGAGCGCGCCUUCGUCAAUGCUUGCCGCCGCUCGGCAGAGGUGUUCUUCCUUGGAGUCAAGGACUGAGCCGCUGCCGUCACCCCUCUUGGUAGAUCUAUGUUUUUAUCUGUAUUUUCUAUGUAUGUGUGAUGAACUCCGAUGUGUUGUGUGAUGAGCUAUGUAGUGGGAAGAACGUUUUAUCCAAGUUUUUAAAUUUA